AGGACGAACGCUGGCGGCGUGCUUAACACAUGCAAGUCGAGCGGUAAGGCCUCUUCGGGGGUACACGAGCGGCGAACGGGUGAGUAACACGUGAGCAAUCUGCCCUUCACUUCGGGAUAAGCCUCGGAAACGGGGUCUAAUACCGGAUAUGACCGUGCCAUGCAUGUGGUGUGGUGGAAAGUUCUGGCGGUGGAGGAUGAGCUCGCGGCCUAUCAGCUUGUUGGUGGGGUAAUGGCCUACCAAGGCUUCGACGGGUAGCCGGCCUGAGAGGGUGACCGGCCACACUGGGACUGAGACACGGCCCAGACUCCUACGGGAGGCAGCAGUGGGGAAUAUUGGACAAUGGGCGAAAGCCUGAUCCAGCAACGCCGCGUGAGGACGACGGCCUCGGGUUGUAAACCUCUUUCAGCGCCGACGAAGCGAGAGUGACGGUAGGCGCAGAAGAAGCACGCCAACUACGUGCCAGCAGCCGC
rnacentral:rRNA from 1 species